GCGUCCUUAGCUCAUCAGGAUAGAGUUCCUGGCUGCGACCCAGGCUGUCGGAGGUUCGACUCCUCCAGGACGCGCCA
rnacentral:tRNA from 1 species